CGCGUAAUUUAAGCAUAUCAUUCAGCGGAGGAAAAGAAACCAACAGGGAUUCCUUCAGUAGGGGCGACUGAACAGGGAUGAGCCCAGCGCAGAAUCGCGUUAACAGCGCGAAAUGUUGCGUUUCGGAGGGUCGCUUCUCUUUUGUGUGCGUGCUGCUUAAGUCAGACUUGAACGUCGCCACUACCCAUGGAGGGUGUGAGGCCCGUGUAGCAGCAUCGUGCCGAGAGAUUGGCCUCUCUGUAGAGUCGGGUUGCUUAGUAAUGCAGCCCAAAGUAGGUGGUAAACUCCAUCCAAGGCUAAAUAUGACCUUGAUUCUGAUAGCAAACAAGUACCGUGAGGGAAAGUUGAAAAGAACUUUGAAGAGAGAGUUAAACAGUGCGUGAAACCGUUGAGAGGAAAACGGGUGAACCCUCGUAGAUCGAAAGUCGGGACUCAACUCUUGGCUUGCCGAGCCGUCGAACUCGACCCAACGAGACGGGAGCAAUUCCGCCUCUAUUAAGUCGAACGGCGUGCGAGGCUUCCAAAGGUGCUCUUCUCGGCUAGUAGGUCGCCGCGACCUGUUCCGAGGCCGUCUGUGGCCCUGGAUGGUGAACCGCUCGUUCUGAACGAGUUGGGAAACUCUGGGUGCCUGAUCGGCCAGGUGGGCAGGGGCAAUGCAAUCGUCCAGUGACCUCUUACGAGGUUGCGCCCUUCUUUGGGCUGUGGCGAAUUUCGGCGGCGUCUUGUCGGUGAUUCACCCGACCCGUCUUGAAACACGGACCAAGGAGUCUAUCAUGUGCACAAGUCAUUGGGCUAACUAAACCCAUAGGCAGAGUGAAAGCGAAGGUGCUCGCUUGACGAGCAUCAAGGGCCGAUCCCGCUUGCUACCGAAACGUGGUGCGGGCGCAGGCUCAGGACUUGCGUUCUCCAUUGUGAGAGGCUAGUCCCUAGAGUGUAGCUGGUAGUACCCGAAAGAUGGUGAACUAUGCCUGGCCAGGACGAAGCCAGAGGAAACUCUGGUGGAGGUCCGUAGCGAUUCUGACGUGCAAAUCGAUCGUCGGAGCUAGGUAUAGGGGCGAAAGACUAAUCGAACUAUCUAGUAGCUGGUUCCCUCCGAAGUUUCCCUUAGGAUAGCUGGUGCAUUUAUGAAAAGAGUUUCAUCCGGUAAAGCGAAUGAUUAGAGGUCUUGGGGACGAAACGUUUUCAACCUAUUCUCAAACUUUAAAUGGGUGAGAAGUCGGGCUUGCUUGAUUUUUUAUGAAGCUCCGACAGUGAAUCUUUGUGUACUUAGUGGGCCAUUUUUGGUAAGCAGAACUGGCGCUGUGGGAUGAACCAAACGUCGAGUUAAGGGGCCUAAACGACGCUAAUAUGGAAACCAUGAAAGGUGUUGGUUGCUAUAGACAGCAGGACGGUGGCCAUGGAAGUCGGAACCCGCCAAGGAGUGUGUAACAACUCACCUGCCGAAGCAACUAGCCCUGAAAAUGGAUGGCGCUAAAGCGUUAUCCCGACACUCGACUGUCGGGGCAGUACCGGCCUUCUAGGGCCUNGAAGCCCCGACAAGUAGGAGGGUCGUUGGGGUGAGCGUAGAAGGGUCCUGCGUGAGCAGGCCUGGAGCCGCCCCAAGUGCAGAUCUUGGUGGUAGUAGCAAAUACUCGAGUGAGACUCUUGAGGACUGACGUGGAGAAGGGUUCCAUGUGAACAUCAGUUGAACAUGGGUCAGCCGGUCCUAAUCGAGAGGCGAAAGCCGCCCCAUUUCUUUGUUGGCAAUCUAAUGAUACAUUAUCUAAUGAUAACGCAUGUGUAACAGGGGUUUUCGAGAAAGGGAAUCUGGUACUUAUUCCAGAGCUCUGGCCCGUUGUUAUGGUUGGUUUUAAUCACUCAUUCCAGGUGACUGGAAGCAAACCGUGUCCACUGGCGGUCGCCCGAGGAAGAGUUUUCUUCUCUGUUUAAAAGCGAGUGACCCUGGAAGCAAUUCGCAAGGCGAUAGGGUCGUUCAGCUGUAGAAUGUCGCGGUUCUUGUGACGUUUCGAGUGCGGCCGCCGGUCCUUGAAAAC
rnacentral:rRNA from 1 species